rnacentral:rRNA from 1 species
UAAGUAAGUGGUGGAAAUUAAACCAAAUGGGAUAUCUUUAGUAAUUGCGAAUGAACAAGGAUACGCUUAGCUUGACAAAUGGAGCUAUUGGCUUUGAAUUGUAUUGUGGAAAUGUAUUACCAACAGAGGUGCAGGUGCCAGCCUAUUGAAAUAAAGCGUCAAUGAGGGUGAGAAUCCUGUUUGUCAUGUGCAGCCCUUUGUGCACGGUGUAUAUUUGCUGAGUCACACUCCUUGGCAUUGGAAUGCAAAGUGGGUGGUAAGUUUCAUGUAAAGGUAAACAUGCAAUUGAGACUGAUAGCACACAAGUACCAUGAGGGAAAUAUGAAAAGGACUUUGAAAAGAGAAUUAAAUGAGUUUGUAUUUGCUGAACACAAAGUAAACAGACUUGAUUUGCUUGGUGGGAGUGUUGCACUUGCUUGACAAGAGCUUUGGGCUGUGGGUGUAAUGAUUCUUUCUUUGCAUGCCAGUUUCUAUUUGUACAUCUGAUUACCUUUGCACAUGAAUGAUAAGUCUCCUGUGGGGGGUGGAUUGCAUGUGCAUGUAAUGAUUUGUGUUUUGAUAAAUGUGUCUGGUGUAUGUGUGUGUUCCUGUGCUUGGGGAUGCUUCCUUCCUUGGACUUACAAGCCCUGACACACACAUGCUGGCAAAAUGCUUCUGCUUGACCCG